AUCGUACAACCACAGCAGGUCAACUACUCACUGAGGUAGCUGACCUGUUGUUGGCAGUGCUUUUGGGCCGGAUUUUCUCAGGAUUGUGGACGAAGACUAUUGGGGACACCGACACCUCACGAAAGACUGCAACAUCGGACAAAUUCCAAACAGACAAAGCCAAUGCGGACACAACUGAUUUUGAUUUUGUUGGUAAAAUUGCGAAGGGUGGAUUGGAAAAGCUUGCUCACGAAUCGGCUCAUGGUGGAAGGAGGUCAAGGUGAUCAGGAUGAAGUGUAAAGAAUACAAACUAAAGAACUACACUUGUCAAUAAUACAUCCUCCAUGGCACUACAAUGUCAACCACCAACUGCCAAACAUCCAUCCUCUGUCAUUUCAAAUGAUUUCAUUUUUCUUUUUGGUCAGAAAAUGAAUUCAUUUUGGAUUUUGAAUUCUUGAG